AAUCAACGCUGGCGGCGCGCCUAACACAUGCAAGUCGAGCGAGAAAGGGGGGCAACUCCUGAGUACAGCGGCGUACGGGUGAGUAACACGUGGAUCAUCUACCUCUUAGUGGGGAAUAACGCUGGGAAACCGGCGCUAAUACCGCAUAAGCCUGAGAAGGGAAAGCAGCAAUGCGCUGAGAGAGGAGUCCGCGGCCGAUUAGCUAGUUGGUGAGGUAAUGGCUCACCAAGGCGAAGAUCGGUAGCCGGCCUGAGAGGGCACACGGCCACACUGGCACUGAAACACGGGCCAGACUCCUACGGGAGGCAGCAGUGGGGAAUCUUGCACAAUGGGGGAAACCCUGAUGCAGCGACGCCGCGUGAGCGAUGAAGCCCUUCGGGGUGUAAAGCUCUUUCGGCAGGGAAGAUGAUGAUGGUACCUGCAGAAGCAGCUGCGGUUAACUACGUGCCAGCAGCUGCGGUAAUACGUAGGCAGCAAGCGUUGUUCGGAGUUACUGGGCGUAAAGGGUGUGUAGGCGGUCGAUCAAGUUUGGUGUGAAAUCUCCCGGUUUAACUGGGAGGGUGCGCCGAAUACUGAUUGACUCGAGUGCGGGAGAGGAAAGUGGAAUUCCUGGUGUAGCGGUGAAAUGCGUAGAUAUCAGGAGGAACACCGGUGGUGUAAACGGCUUUCUGGACCGUAACUGACGCUGAGACACGAAAGCGUGGGUAGUAAACAGGAUUAGAUACCCUGGUAGUCCACGCCCUAAACGAUGCAUAUUUGGUGUGGGUCAUUUAGUUGAUCCGUGCCGGAGCUAAUGCGUUAAAUAUGCCGCCUGGGGAGUACAGUCGCAAGGCUG
rnacentral:rRNA from 1 species